rnacentral:rRNA from 1 species
UGAGUAACACGUAUCCAACCUGCCGUCUACUCUUGGACAGCCUUCUGAAAGGAAGAUUAAUACAAGAUGGCAUCAUGAGUCCGCAUGUUCACAUGAUUAAAGGUAUUCCGGUAGACGAUGGGGAUGCGUUCCAUUAGAUAGUAGGCGGGGUAACGGCCCACCUAGUCUUCGAUGGAUAGGGGUUCUGAGAGGAAGGUCCCCCACAUUGGAACUGAGACACGGUCCGA